rnacentral:rRNA from 1 species
CCCUUAGAUGUUCUGGGCCGCACGCGCGCUACACUGAUGCAUUCAACGAGUUACCUUGGCCGAGAGGCCUGGGCAAUCUUUUGAACGUGCAUCGUGAUAGGGAUAGAUUAUUGCAAUUAUUAAUCUUGAACGAGGAAUUCCUAGUAAACGCAGUUCAUCAAACUGCAUUGAUUACGUCCCUGCCCUUUGUACACACCGCCCGCCGCACCUACCGAUUGGAUGGUCCGGUGAAGCCUCGGGAUUGUGGCCAGUGCCUUUUUGGUUUUGGUUGCGAGAACUUGUCUAAACCUUAUCAUCUAGAGGAAGGUGAAGUCGUAACA